rnacentral:rRNA from 1 species
GAUGAACGCUGGCGGCGUGCCUAAUACAUGCGAGUCGAGCGAACGGACGAGAAGCUUGCUUCUCUGAUGUUAGCGGCGGACGGGGGAGUAAAACGUGGAUAACCUACCUAUAAGACUGGGAUAACUUCGGGAAACCGGAGCUAAUACCGGAUAAUAUUUUGAACCGCAUGGUUCAAAAGUGAAAGACGGUCUUGCUGUCACUUAUAGAUGGAUCCGCGCUGCAUUAGCUAGUUGGUAAGGUAACGGCUUACCAAGGCAACGAUGCAUAGCCGACCUGAGAGGGUGAUCGGCCACACUGGAACUGAGACACGGUCCAGACUCCUACGGGAGGCAGCAGUAGGGAAUCUUCCGCAAUGGGCGAAAGCCUGACGGAGCAACGCCGCGUGAGUGAUGAAGGUCUUCGGAUCGUAAAACUCUGUUAUUAGGGAAGAACAUAUGUGUAAGUAACUGUGCACAUCUUGACGGUACCUAAUCAGAAAGCCACGGCUAACUACGUG